rnacentral:lncRNA from 1 species
CCCACGUUGUACUAAUCAAUUGCAAAGUCGAACUAAAUACAUCUUCAAUUCCUAAGGAAAGAAGAAAAAGAGAUCCUAAUGAGGCAGGCAGCCUACUUAAUAAGUAGUCGUAUUUGAUUAAUGCUUGAAGAAUUCAUCAAAUGCAAAUUAGUACUAGUACUACUACACUUAGUAGUACAAGAGAAUUAGCAAGGCAGCUAGCUAGCUUACGUACUACGAUGUCCCCCCCUAUGUGCUUACAUCCCUCGAAUCUCUAGCUGACGUUGUUUGUACCUGUGUAUGUGAGAGAGAGAGAGAGAGAGAGAGAGACAGAGAGAGAGAGAGAUAUAGAGGGAGGGAGAGUGACUGUGUGAUUAUCUGAAAAGUAGUACUGUAGUGAUACUAUAUAGUCCUGCACAGAAAAGCAAGUGAGUCAUUAAUUAAGAUCUAACAGACACAGAUUCACACAAAAGUAUCAAACAGACACAUAUAUCUAUUAGUCCUUAGUUAAUAUAGAGUUAGUGAGUACUAAAUAAAUCAGUUUAAAAUAUAUAUAUAUAUAUAUAUAUACACAUAAACUUUUCUUUCUAAUCCAUCCGUCUAUUCAGACUGAUCUUUUUAGAAAAUACUACUAGUACUACUAACUAGUUCAUGCACAUCUAUAAAAUUUAAACCCUGGAACACAGUACUAAUUAAAUAAUAAUGCGUAAUCAAAGAGGAAAUGAUAAUUACUCCAAACAUGUAUACUUAUUAAUUAGUACUAGUGCCAGUAUAUAUUUGUAAGUACGUAGUAGUAGCAAGUUUAAUUAUCUGCACUUCAACGUACGCACAUAGUUAUAAUAGCUACCAACCUUCUUCUUCAUUUCAGACAAACCCAUGUUGUUGUUAUCAAUGCAUUAUAUAUAGGCACUUAAAUUAAUUUCUAUUAAAAUUCAAAAACUAUAUAUAUAUAUAUAUAUAUAUAUAUAUAUUCUUCAGC